rnacentral:rRNA from 1 species
CCGCGGUGAUACGGAGGGUGCAAGCGUUAAUCGGAAUAACUGGGCGUAAAGCGCACGCAGGCGGUUUGUUAAGUCAGAUGUGAAAUCCCCGCGCUUAACGUGGGAACUGCAUUUGAAACUGGCAAGCUAGAGUCUUGUAGAGGGGGGUAGAAUUCCAGGUGUAGCGGUGAAAUGCGUAGAGAUCUGGAGGAAUACCGGUGGCGAAGGCGGCCCCCUGGACAAAGACUGACGCUCAGGUGCGAAAGCGUGGGGAGCAAACAGGAUUAGAUACCCUGGUAGUCCACGCUGUAAACGAUGUCGACUUGGAGGUUGUGCCCUUGAGGCGUGGCUUCCGGAGCUAACGCGUUAAGUCGACCGCCUGGGGAGUACGGCCGCAAGGUUAAAGCUCAAAUGAAUUGACGGGGGCCCGCACAAGCGGUGGAGCAUGUGGUUUAAUUCGAUGCAACGCGAAGAACCUUACCUACUCUUGACAUCCACGGAAUUCGCCAGAGAUGGCUUAGUGCCUUCGGGAACCGUGAGACAGGUGCUGCAUGGCUGUCGUCAGCUCGUGUUGUGAAAUGUUGGGUUAAGUCCCGCAACGAGCGCAACCCUUAUCCUUUGUUGCCAGCACGUAAUGGUGGGAACUCAAAGGAGACUGCCGGUGAUAAACCGGAGGAAGGUGGGGAUGACGUCAAGUCAUCAUGGCCCUUACGAGUAGGGCUACACACGUGCUACAAUGGCAUAUACAAAGAGAAGCGAACUCGCGAGAGCAAGCGGACCUCAUAAAGUAUGUCGUAGUCCGGAUUGGAGUCUGCAACUCGACUCCAUGAAGUCGGAAUCGCUAGUAAUCGUAGAUCAGAAUGCUACGGUGAAUACGUUCCCGGGCCUUGUACACACCGCCCGUCACACCAUGGGAGUGGGUUGCAAAAGAAGUAGGUAGCUUAACCUUCGGGA